GUUCCAACCCUCUGGGCACUUGGCUGGUUCCCUGGCAACCAGCCCACAUCUGUGGUUUCCUAGGUGAUGAAAGCCAUGUCCUCAGGUGGCAGAAGGGAUGGAAGAGAAAAAUGAGUAAAACAACUCCUUCACACUUCUUUUAUAAGGUCACUAAUCUCAUUUAGGAGGGCUCUAACCUUGUGAUGUAAACACCUCCAAAAGGCCUCAUCUCUUAAUGCUAUCACUGCUAUCACAUGAGAGUUACAACAUUUGAGUUUUUUAGGGACACAUACAUUCAAACUAUAGCACAUACCUAGUACCCAGAACUUGGUUUCAAACACUAUUUUUUAUUAAGGAGUCAGGAUUUCUUGCAGAAAUGGCUGAAUUUAGCACUGUGGCAGAAAAUAGACAAGAUGAGUAUGGAGCAUCUGAUAGUGCCAGAAAAGAGAUCAUCAAAAGCAUGAAAAGUCCAAGAAACUGUCACAGCCACAAGAAGCCUAAGGACACAUAAUGACUAAACAAAAGAUGGUAUUCUAGAUGGGAUCUUGGAACAGAAAAAUAACAUUAGGUAAAUACUAAGGGAAUCUAAAUAAGGAGAGAAUUUCUGUUUGGAUUGGACGUCACUGAAAACCAAAAUCUCCACUAAAAUUGUAUACAUCAGAUCAUUGAAAAAAUCGCCACAAAUCAUCUUUUUGUUCCAUAUCUUCAAACAUCCAUCUAUGCCAUUCAUCAUAUUUGAAGUGCCAAGGCAGUAUGGGGCACAUUUCUUUUUAUCAUGACAAGCAUGAGUCAGCACAGAUAUAGCCAACAAUAACUAUGUACAAAAGUUAUUGUGAAUCAAAUAAAUAUCAUCCUGAUACACACAUACUAAACGUGUAUUCAGCACAUGUCCCUUUGCCAUUUGCCCUCUGUCCUUUUGCCAUAUCCUAAAAUUACCUGUGGCCACUCCAAUGUACCUGGCAUAAAGGGAAGUAUGAUCGAGGGGAAGCUGGAAUGGUAGAGGCUGAGGUCUUGACCAGUCAUAAUGAUAGUAUCUAAUCUUCAAAUUUUCCACCAGCAUGACUGCAAGAACACAU